rnacentral:rRNA from 1 species
UACAGAGGGGGCAAGCGUUGUUCGGAAUUACUGGGCGUAAAGGGCGCGUAGGCGGCCUGUUAAGUCGAACGUGAAAUCCCCGGGCUCAACCCGGGAACUGCGUCCGAUACUGGCAGGCUUGAAUCCGGGAGAGGGAUGUGGAAUUCCAGGUGUAGCGGUGAAAUGCGUAGAUAUCUGGAGGAACACCGGUGGCGAAGGCGACGUCCUGGACCGGCAUUGACGCUGAGGCGCGAAAGCCAGGGGAGCAAACGGG